rnacentral:rRNA from 1 species
UACGAAAGGGGGGCUAGCGUUGUUCGGAAUUACUGGGCGUAAAGCGUGCGCAGGCGGUUCUCCAAGUCCGUUGUGAAAGCCCCCGGGCUCAACCUGGGAAUGGCAGUGGAAACUAGGGGACUGGAAUCUGGCAGAGGGGGGUGGAAUGCCGCGUGUAGCAGUGAAAUGCGUAGAGAUGCGGCGGAACACCGAUGGCGAAGGCAGCCCCCUGGGCUGAGAUUGACGCUCAGGCACGAAAGCGUGGGGAGCAAACAGG